AACGUGCUCAACACAUGCAAGUCGAACGAGAAAGUCCGUAAGGAUGAGUAAAGUGGCGUCCGGGUGAGUAACACGUGAAUUAUCUACCCUUGGGUGAAGAAUACCCUCGAGAAAUCGAGGUUAAUACUGCAUAAGCCGGUAACGGGAAAGGUGGCCUCUUUGCUACCGCCGAAGGAUGAGUUUGCGGCCUAUUAGUUAGUUGGUGGGGUAAAGGCCUACCAAGACGAAGAUGGGUAGCCGGCCUGAGAGGGUGUACGGCCACAAUGGAACUGACACACGGUCCAUACUCCUACGGGAGGCAGCAGUGGGGAAUAUUGCACAAUGGGCGCAAGCCUGAUGCAGCGACGCCGCGUGAGGGAAGAAGGUUUUAGGAUUGUAAACCUCUGUUAAGUGGGAAAAAAUACCGACGGUUAAUACCCGAUCGGAGAUGAUGGUACCACUAGAGAAAGUACCGGCAAACUUCGUGCCAGCAGCCGCGGUAAUACGAAGGGUACGAGCGUUAUUCGGAGUUACUGGGCGUAAAGAGCGCGUAGGCGGUUAGUUAAGUUAGUUGUUAAAUUCCUCGGCCUAACCGGGGAUCCGCAACUGAAACUGGCUGACUAGAGUGUAAGAGAGAGAAGUAGAAUUCCCGGAGUAGCGGUAAAAUGCGUAGAUCUCGGGAGGAAUACCCGAUGGCGAAGGCAAGCUUNUUGGCUUAUAACUGACGCUUAAAUGCNAAAGCGUGGGGAGCAAACAGGAUUAGAUNCCCNGGUAGUCCACNCCNNAAACNAUGAUCACU
rnacentral:rRNA from 1 species